rnacentral:rRNA from 1 species
UACGAAGGGUGCAAGCGUUAAUCGGAAUUACUGGGCGGUAAAGAGCGUGUAGGCGGGUAGUUAAGUCAGAAGUGAAAUCCAAUAGCUCAACUAUUGAACUGCUUUUGAAACUGAUUACCUAGAAUAUGGGAGAGGUAGAUGGAAUUUCUGGUGUAGGGGUAAAAUCCGUAGAGAUCAGAAGGAAUACCGAUUGCGAAGGCGAUCUACUGGAACAUUAUUGACGCUGAGACGCGAAAAGCGUGGGAGCAAACAGGAUUAGAUACCCGCAUAGU